GCCUGGGAAGAGCAGAGCUGUCGGGGCAGAAAGCGGCAUGGAGAUGGCCACUCUCCACAGCGCCCGGGCCCAGGUCUCCCAGCCCCAGCACUUACCAUCUGGCGCCGGCGGGAAGUCAUUUCACGCCCUGUCUCAGUGUGCUCAUCUAUGCGGAGCGGGCAGGACCUCCCCGGGCAGUGU